rnacentral:lncRNA from 1 species
UUAUUACGCAAAUUUAAGCAUGUACACAAGUACUGUGGAAGCCUAAUAUUUUUGAAGAAACAACUAUUAUUUAUUUUAUUUAUUUCAUAUUUUUCCAGGCACCAAUCACUAAUGUUUUUUGAAAAUUAUUUAUUAGUAUGUUCACUUUAAUAUUUGUCAUCAAAGGCUUGCUUAUACAAAGAUGAAUCUUGAUAUUGAGAAUGACGUUAACGAUGUUUUUACUGAGUCUUGUUGUUUUGGUUUUAAGAUUAAAUGCGUCUCCUUUGAAAAGGUUCGAAAAGUUCAACUUGAUUAAAGCAUUUUCAUGUGAAAGCGAAUGCCAUGGUCAAUACGACCUUUGUGACUCUCAUUCCAGAUCUCUUGGCGAGCAAAUUAGCUGCGUGCAUAGAAGGCUGGGGUGUAUGCUAACCUGUGUAAAACCAGAAUAUCCAACGGAAUCACCAAUCAUUAUAAAUGGCUUUGUGGUUGAAGAAGAUAUAAUAAUAAGUAAAAAAUAGAACGAAAUUUUGUCUGUAUACUUUGUCUGUAAACAUUGUCUGUAUAUAAAAAUUAUGUGGAGAAAUGAUAGCUAGACGAAGAAUAUACAGCAUUAUGAUAAACUACAUGAAAAACAAUAUAUAUAUUUGUAUUUAUAUAUGUAUAUAGAAUAGUAUAUUUAUGACAAACAUAAUAUGUAGUUAUGCGAUAAUCAAAUAAGUAUAACUUAUUGAA